GAUGAACGCUGGCGGCGUGCCUAAUACAUGCAAGUCGAGCGAACGGACGAGAAGCUUGCUUCUCUGAUGUUAGCGGCGGACGGGUGAGUAACACGUGGAUAACCUACCUAUAAGACUGGGAUAACUUCGGGAAACCGGAGCUAAUACCGGAUGAUAUUUUGAACCGCAUGGUUCAAAAGCGAAAGACGGUCUUGCUGUCACUUAUAGAUGGAUCCGCGCUGCAUUAGCUAGUUGGUAAGGUAACGGCUUACCAAGGCAACGAUGCAUAGCCGACCUGAGAGGGUGAUCGGCCACACUGGAACUGGGACACGGUCCAGAGUCCUACGGGAGGCAGCAGUAGGGAAUCUUCCGCAAUGGGCGAAAGCCUGACGGAGCAACGCCGCGUGAGAGAUGAAGGCCUUCGGAUCGUAAAACUCUGUUAUUAGGGAAGAACAGAUGUGUAAGUAACUGUGCACAUCUUGACGGUACCUAAUCAGAAAGCCACGGCUAACUACGUG
rnacentral:rRNA from 1 species